rnacentral:rRNA from 1 species
CCUACGGGAGGCAGCAGUCGGGAAUAUUGCUCAAUGGAGGUAACUCUGACGCAGUCACGCCGCGUGCAGGAAGACGGUUUUCGGAUUUGAAACUUCUUUAGACAGGGAGGAAAAAAGACAGUAGCGUGAGGAUAAGCUCCUGCUAAAUCCGUGACAACAGCCGCGGUACUACGGAGGGAGCACGCGUUAUCCGGAUUUAUUGGGUGGAAAGGGUGCGUAGACGGAGAAGCAAGUUAGUUGUGAAAUCCCUCGGCUUAACUGAGGAACUGCAACUAAAACUACUUCCCUUGAGUACUGGAGAGGAAAGUGGAAUUCGUAGUGUAGCGGUGAAAUGCGUAGAUAUGAGGAGGAACACCAGUGGCGAAGGCGACUUUCGGGACAGCAACUGGCGUUGAGGCACGAAAGUGUGGGGAGCAAACAGGAUUAGAUACCCCUGUAGUC